GUGGGGAAUCUUAGACAAUGGGCGCAAGCCUGAUCUAGCCAUGCCGCGUGAGCGAUGAAGGCCUUAGGGUUGUAAAGCUCUUUCGUGGGGGAAGAUAAUGACUGUACCCCAAGAAGAAGCCCCGGCUAACUCCGUGCCAGCAGCCGCGGUAAUACGGAGGGGGCUAGCGUUGUUCGGAAUUACUGGGCGUAAAGCGCACGUAGGCGGACUGGAAAGUCAGGGGUGAAAUCCCGGGGCUCAACCCCGGAACUGCCUUUGAAACUCCCAGUCUUGAGUUCGAGAGAGGUGAGUGGAAUUCCGAGUGUAGAGGUGAAAUUCGUAGAUAUUCGGAGGAACACCAGUGGCGAAGGCGGCUCACUGGCUCGAUACUGACGCUGAGGUGCGAAAGCGUGGGGAGCAAACAGGAUUAGAAACCCCGGUAGUCC
rnacentral:rRNA from 1 species